rnacentral:rRNA from 1 species
GUGCCUAACACAUGCAAGUCGAACGAGAAAGUGGAGCAAUCCAUGAGUACAGUGGCGACCGGGUGAGUAACACGUGACCAACCUGCCCUCGAGUGGGGAAUAACUCCGGGAAACCGGAGCUAAUACCGCAUAACAUCGCAAGAUCAAAGCCGCAAGGCGCUUGAGGAGGGGGUCGCGGCUGAUUAGCUAGUUGGUAGGGUAAUGGCCUACCAAGGCGAAGAUCGGUAGCCGGCCUGAGAGGGCGCACGGCCACACUGGAACUGAAACACGGUCCAG